UCGCUUAGUGGUAGAGCAUUCGAUUCGUAAUCGAAAGAUCCGUAGUUCAAUCC
rnacentral:tRNA from 1 species